UUCAUAUUUAGUGGUGGGGGGGCUGUGCUAGAAACCCUCCAUUUUCACUACUGUAGUCUUCCCUGGGAUGUUAGUUCUGGUCAGGCCCCUGAAAGUGUAUACAAAUUAUGUGUUCACUGGGUGGGGUGGGGCAAAGGGGGGAAACGGCUAAAAUAGUUCGUGUGCUCCAGCUUAGAGGUCGCGUCAGUUGCAAAGAAAUCUGUAAAUUUAAAGGAAUCUGUCACACAUUUUGCUAAAAGUAAAGAAGGUUCACUUAAAAAUAAUCGACGUGCGCACACUUCUCUUUUUAAUUCUUUGAUUUAUCAACAGCCGAUUAUUUUGCUGUCGUUGCGGUUUUUGGCGACAUUUUGUUUUAAUGUGUUUUAAAGACUUCAGAAAACGAUUUUUUGGAUGUUUUUGUGAUCAAACAUCUCUACUUUUAUAUGGAUCUUUUAUUUGAAUCUAGUGUAUAGUGUGAAUGACAGUGUUUUAAUGAAGGAUGAAUCAACUUAAGGCAAAUUAAGAUAUUAAUAUAAUCAUAUUACACCAAGAAGGAUCACACAAACUUCUCUAAUAAGGAAAUUUCUUGAUGUUUAGGAGAUGAAGACCGUCCUUGGAGAUGAUAACGGUUUUUGGGAUGUAAUUGAAAAUCCCAUGAAGACGAGUUAAAUAUAAUGUGCAGUAAUUAAUAGGUAUAUCAUAAUAAUAAAUAAAUUUAUUGUAGUUGCGAAGCUAGUAUUUUGUGAAAGCAGGGAGUUUAGGACUUACUAUGGUUCAAGGUUUUCAAAUUCGCCAUGUCCCUCUAUGUCUUAAUCUUUUAUGUUGUUUUACAUAAUGUUAUAACGCCUAUGCCUGUUAAAAAAACAAGGUUUGUCCUUUUUGUGAUUGCUUAAUUUAGAAACUAAGCGAAAAAACGUAUUCUACAAGUAUCAUACAAGUUAAUCAAUAUUAAAGCCUACUAUUAUUAUAAAUUUAAAUGAUUACAUGGUAGUUUUAAUCAGUUAACUUCCAGUUAUAGUUAUGUAUAUCAGAUAUGUGGCUUUUUAUUUAAAAUAAUUUUAGCACACUUGUAAUUCUCUUGUGUUUGAGUAAUUUACUAAUAACUAUGAUGCAAUCGAGAUUA